AUUGAACGCUGGCGGAAUGCUUUACACAUGCAAGUCGAACGGCAGCACGGACUUCGGUCUGGUGGCGAGUGGCGAACGGGUGAGUAAUACAUCGGAACGUGCCCAGUCGUGGGGGAUAACGUAGCGAAAGCUACGCUAUUACCGCAUACGAUCUAAGGAUGAAAGCGGGGGAUCGCAAGACCUCGCGCGAUUGGAGCGGCCGAUGGCAGAUUAGGUAGUUGGUGGGGUAAAGGCUCACCAAGCCGACGAUCUGUAGCUGGUCUGAGAGGACGACCAGCCACACUGGGACUGAGACACGGCCCAGACUCCUACGGGAGGCAGCAGUGGGGAAUUUUGGACAAUGGGGGCAACCCUGAUCCAGCAAUGCCGCGUGAGUGAAGAAGGCCUUCGGGUUGUAAAGCUCUUUUGUCAGGGAAGAAACACCGGCUCUAACACAGUCCGGGAAUGACGGUACCUGAAGAAUAAGCACCGGCUAACUACGUGCCAGCCGCCGCGGUAA
rnacentral:rRNA from 1 species